UCUCUGGUACAAUAAUACAUGCCGGUAUCUUCAGCUUUCAGACCAGUCAUAUGUAGAUAGAUCAGCUUCUUGGAACUGUCUGUGGAGGUUGUGAACCGUCCUUUAGCAGAAUCUGCAUAAGCUGUGCUGGCCCGAUUAAUUGCUGAGAGCCAUUUGAGUCCCUUUCCAGGAGCUUGAUGGACCCAGUGAAUCCAGUAGCUGUCUAUGUUGAAUCCUGAUGUUGUACAUGUGAGUCGAAGGGACUCUCCAGGUCUUUUCACAUCCCCACCAGAUUCCACCAGAGAAUCUGCAUGGACAC